rnacentral:rRNA from 1 species
AAAGACCCAAGCGACUGUUUAACAAAAACACAUGGCUUUGCUAACGCGUAAGCGGACGUAUAAGGCCUGACACCUGCCCGGUGCUGGAAGGUUAAGAGGGGAGCUUAGUCGCAAGGCGAAGGCUUGAAUCGAAGCCCCAGUAAACGGCGGCCGUAACUAUAACGGUCCUAAGGUAGCGAAAUUCCUUGUCGGGUAAGUUCCGACCU